AUUGAACGCUGGCGGCAUGCCUUACACAUGCAAGUCGAACGGCAGCACGGGAGCAAUCCUGGUGGCGAGUGGCGAACGGGUGAGUAAUAUAUCGGAACGUGCCCAGUCGUGGGGGAUAACGUAGCGAAAGCUACGCUAAUACCGCAUACGAUCUAUGGAUGAAAGCGGGGGAUCGCAAGACCUCGCGCGAUUGGAGCGGCCGAUAUCAGAUUAGGUAGUUGGUGAGGUAAAGGCUCACCAAGCCGACGAUCUGUAGCUGGUCUGAGAGGACGACCAGCCACACUGGGACUGAGACACGGCCCAGACUCCUACGGGAGGCAGCAGUGGGGAAUAUUGGACAAUGGGCGAAAGCCUGAUCCAGCAAUGCCGCGUGAGUGAUGAAGGCCUUAGGGUUGUAAAGGCUCUUUUACCCGAGAUGAUAAUGACAGUAUCGGGAGAAUAAGCUCCGACUAACUCCGUGCCAGCAGCC
rnacentral:rRNA from 1 species